AAAUUGAAGAGUUUGAUCAUGGCUCAGAUUGAACGCUGGCGGCAGGCCUAACACAUGCAAGUCGAACGGUAACAGGAAGCAGCUUGCUGCUUCGCUGACGAGUGGCGGACGGGUGAGUAAUGUCUGGGAAACUGCCUGAUGGAGGGGGAUAACUACUGGAAACGGUGGCUAAUACCGCAUAACGUCGCAAGACCAAAGAGGGGGACCUUCGGGCCUCUUGCCAUCAGAUGUGCCCAGAUGGGAUUAGCUAGUUGGUGAGGUAACGGCUCACCAAGGCGACGAUCCCUAGCUGGUCUGAGAGGAUGACCAGCCACACUGGAACUGAGACACGGUCCAGACUCCUACGGGAGGCAGCAGUGGGGAAUAUUGCACAAUGGGCGCAAGCCUGAUGCAGCCAUGCCGCGUGUAUGAAGAAGGCCUUCGGGUUGUAAAGUACUUUCAGCGGGGAGGAAGGUGUUGUGGUUAAUAACCGCAGCAAUUGACGUUACCCGCAGAAGAAGCACCGGCUAACUCCGUGCCAGCAGCCGCGGUAAUACGGAGGGUGCAAGCGUUAAUCGGAAUUACUGGGCGUAAAGCGCACGCAGGCGGUCUGUCAAGUCGGAUGUGAAAUCCCCGGGCUCAACCUGGGAACUGCAUUCGAAACUGGCAGGCUUGAGUCUUGUAGAGGGGGGUAGAAUUCCAGGUGUAGCGGUGAAAUGCGUAGAGAUCUGGAGGAAUACCGGUGGCGAAGGCGGCCCCCUGGACAAAGACUGACGCUCAGGUGCGAAAGCGUGGGGAGCAAACAGGAUUAGAUACCCUGGUAGUCCACGCCGUAAACGAUGUCUACUUGGAGGUUGUGCCCUUGAGGCGUGGCUUCCGGAGCUAACGCGUUAAGUAGACCGCCUGGGGAGUACGGCCGCAAGGUUAAAACUCAAAUGAAUUGACGGGGGCCCGCACAAGCGGUGGAGCAUGUGGUUUAAUUCGAUGCAACGCGAAGAACCUUACCUGGUCUUGACAUCCACAGAACUUUCCAGAGAUGGACUGGUGCCUUCGGGAACUGUGAGACAGGUGCUGCAUGGCUGUCGUCAGCUCGUGUUGUGAAAUGUUGGGUUAAGUCCCGCAACGAGCGCAACCCUUAUCCUUUGUUGCCAGCGGUUAGGCCGGGAACUCAAAGGAGACUGCCAGUGAUAAACUGGAGGAAGGUGGGGAUGACGUCAAGUCAUCAUGGCCCUUACGACCAGGGCUACACACGUGCUACAAUGGCGCAUACAAAGAGAAGCGACCUCGCGAGAGCAAGCGGACCUCAUAAAGUGCGUCGUAGUCCGGAUUGGAGUCUGCAACUCGACUCCAUGAAGUCGGAAUCGCUAGUAAUCGUGGAUCAGAAUGCCACGGUGAAUACGUUCCCGGGCCUUGUACACACCGCCCGUCACACCAUGGGAGUGGGUUGCAAAAGAAGUAGGUAGCUUAACCUUCGGGAGGGCGCUUACCACUUUGUGAUUCAUGACUGGGGUGAAGUCGUAACAAGGUAACCGUAGGGGAACCUGCGGUUGGAUCACCUCCUUACCUUAAAGAAGC
rnacentral:rRNA from 1 species